UUAGCUAUGUUAUAAUAAUGGGAACAGUAAAGUUUAAUGACGGUGGCGACUUCUGAAAGGUGGUGGUGCUUAUGAAUGUAAGUGCUGAAAUCUAUGAAAGGAGUAAGCCUUUUGUCUGCAUAUGAGACGAUCCAGACGAUUCUAGGCUUUGGUAUGUUUACCAUUGCUUUGAUCAGUGUGGU
rnacentral:sRNA from 1 species